GGCUGAAAUUCGCCUUCAUGAAGCUGGAAUUGCUAGUAAUGGCAGGUCAGCAUACUGCCGUGAAUACGUUCCCGGGCCUUGUACACACCGCCCGUCACACCAUGAGAGUUGGGAAUACCCGAAGCCUGUGAGCCAACUUUUAAAGAGGCAACAGUCGAAGGUAGAAUCAAUGAUUGGGGUGAAGUCGUAACAAGGUAGC
rnacentral:rRNA from 1 species